rnacentral:lncRNA from 1 species
UUUAGGAUAAUCCCCAAUACUGAGCUCCGUGUAUUCAUUCUAAACAUACUUGAAUCUCACCAAGAGAUUUCAUAUCGAAACUCACUACAUCACUUUGAAAUCAUACUUUAUUCCCAUUUGAAUUUACAACUCAAUUCCUUGAUACUCAUAUAACUCAAUAUACAUUCACACAUAAUCCAAAAUAGUCCACCACAUCAAUCAACUCAAACAAGAAAUAAUUAAGAAAAGGAUAAACUAAAACCUGGACCAUUCGCUCAGCGCAUACUCUUGUUGAGCAAAUCCAGAGGUUUCGAGACCCAUCUCGCUGUGUGAACAAACUCCCAGUGGUCCCAGACCCAGUUGAGGCAAAUCGGCAAGUGUACCGAGUCGCACAAGUGAUAUAAAAUGGUAAGACAAAGUAUCGUUUCCCAGAGGACUCUC